AGAGUUUGAUCAUGGCUCAGGACGAACGCUGGCGGCGUGCCUAAUACAUGCAAGUAGAACGCUGACUACUUUAGCUUGCUAGAGUAGAAGGAGUUGCGAACGGGUGAGUAACGCGUAGGUAACCUGCCUACUAGCGGGGGAUAACUAUUGGAAACGAUAGCUAAUACCGCAUAACAGUGUUUAACACAUGUUAGAUGCUUGAAAGAUGCAAAUGCAUCACUAGUAGAUGGACCUGCGUUGUAUUAGCUAGUUGGUGGGGUAACGGCCUACCAAGGCGACGAUACAUAGCCGACCUGAGAGGGUGAUCGGCCACACUGGGACUGAGACACGGCCCAGACUCCUACGGGAGGCAGCAGUAGGGAAUCUUCGGCAAUGGGGGCAACCCUGACCGAGCAACGCCGCGUGAGUGAAGAAGGUUUUCGGAUCGUAAAGCUCUGUUGUAAGAGAAGAACGUGUGUGAGAGUGGAAAGUUCACACAGUGACGGUAACUUACCAGAAAGGGACGGCUAACUACGUGCCAGCAGCCGCGGUAAUACGUAGGUCCCGAGCGUUGUCCGGAUUUAUUGGGCGUAAAGCGAGCGCAGGCGGUUUAAUAAGUCUGAAGUUAAAGGCAGUGGCUUAACCAUUGUUCGCUUUGGAAACUGUUAAACUUGAGUGCAGAAGGGGAGAGUGGAAUUCCAUGUGUAGCGGUGAAAUGCGUAGAUAUAUGGAGGAACACCGGUGGCGAAAGCGGCUCUCUGGUCUGUAACUGACGCUGAGGCUCGAAAGCGUGGGGAGCAAACAGGAUUAGAUACCCU
rnacentral:rRNA from 1 species